UGAUAAAAGGAAGAGCGGGAAAGGGAGAGAUCUCACUGACGGGCACCAGGUCCCAAAGCCCCCUCACCCCAGACUGUGCCCCUUU
rfam:Sus scrofa chromosome 6.